rnacentral:rRNA from 1 species
AUCUAUGGCCAUGCUACCCUGAACACGCUGGAUCCCGUCUGAUCUCAGAACCUAAGCAGGGUCGGGCCUGGUUAGUACUUGGAUAGGAGACCACCUAGGAAGACCAGGUGCUGUAGAUG